GACGGGGGGGUCCAAGCGUUGUUCGGAAUCAUUGGGCGUAAAGCGUGUGCAGGUGGUUUUGUAAGUUGGAUGUGAAAGCCCCGGGCUUAACCCGGGAAGUGCAUUCAAAACUGCAAAACUUGAGUAUGGAAGAGGGUCGUGGAAUUCCUGGUGUAGUGGUGAAAUACGUAGAUAUCAGGAGGAACACCGGUGGCGAAGGCGGCGACCUGGUCCUAUACUGACACUCAUACACGAAAGCGUGGGUAGCAAACAGG
rnacentral:rRNA from 1 species